GGCAGUGUGGCUCAAUGGAAAGAGCACGAGCUUGGGAGUCAGAGGUCAUGGGUUCUAAUCCUACCUCCGCCU
rnacentral:tRNA from 1 species